rnacentral:rRNA from 1 species
CCUACGGGAGGCUGCAGUGGGGAAUAUUGCACAAUGGGCGCAAGCCUGAUGCAGCCAUGCCGCGUGUGUGAAGAAGGCCUUCGGGUUGUAAAGCACUUUCAGCGGGGAGGAAGGAGGUGAGGUUAAUAACCUCAUAGAUUGACGUUACCCGAAGAAGAAGCCACGGCUAACUCCGUGCCAGCAGCCGCGGUAAUACGGAGGGUGCAAGCGUUAAUCGGAAUUACUGGGCGUAAAGCGCACGCAGGCGGUCUGUCAAGUCGGAUGUGAAAUCCCCGGGCUCAACCUGGGAACGUGCAUUCGAAACUGGCAGGCUAGAGUCGUGUAGAGGGGGGUAGAAUUCCACGUGUAGCGGUGAAAUGCGUAGAGAUCUGGAGGAAUACCGGUGGCGAAGGCGGCCCCCUGGACAAAGACUGACGCUCAGGUGCGAAAGCGUGGGGAGCAAACAGGAUUAGAUACCCGGGUAGUC